AAGCCACUUGCUCUUCAGAUAAUACUUGCACUAACUUCUAUUGAUGAAGCAGUGUGAGCCCUAGCAAAGUCCUUUCCCAAAGUGUCUUUGAAGCCAAGAGCCCAUUGAAGGGAAGAAAGGCCGGGAGAGGGGAUUAGUUUGUUCAGCAGCUGUGAAUUUCAGUGGGAGGUUGAUGAACUCCGAAGUCUUUGUUUAAAUUAAAGUGGGGGAGAAAAAAGCCGCUGCUGGAGCGAGAGCCCCACUUGGGGCCCUGAACUAACACAAGGAGAAGUCUGAGCUGCAGGGAGCUGUGUACUGACUGCGAAGACUUUUCCCAAACACUUUCGGAAAAGGUGUUGUGAGAAGACAAGGGGGCGGAGUGGCGGAUUAGCAUGUGAAAUGAAGUUUUCAUUGACUCCAGUGGGGGUAGAAGGCUAUUUUAAUGGCAUUUUGUUCUCCUAUUUUCUCUUCUUGAGCUCUUUAGAGAUAUUGUUUUGCUAAGACAGGCUUUCUUCCCCCUUCUUUCCAGUCUGAGGAUUGCCUCUAUGGGAGCCAACAUAAAUAUUUCUCCUCCAGGAAUGCGGGUUAAUUAAAAGGAAAUGAAUGAGUGGAAGCAUCCAAUCCAGACCUACAAUAGGCGAGUGCCCUGGCCUGCCCUCCCCUCCCACCACCGCCAGCACCACCAGCGCCGAAGACGACCCCGUCUCUGUCUUUGCCCUAACCUGCUGCUAAGGCCAGUUGAGGCUGCGAUUCUUUUCAAAAAGAAAAAGCUCUGCCUGUGUUUAGGCUCACAGGCCAGGGACAGGAAGGAGACAGUGUUUUGCCCACCCCAACCAAUGUCCUUGUCACUUCUCAGGGCCUCCCUCUGUUUCUGUCUUCUGGCUGAGACAGAUGGGCUCCUGAAGAGCACACAAGAGGUGGAAGGGGCCUGUGCUCUGCACUCUCCCCACAGUAACUUACUAGUUGGGGGAAGAAGCCAGUCAUCUUUCUCAGCAUCAGUUUAAAUCUGUAACACAAAAGGUUUGACUGGCUGACCUCAAAGAUGUCUUCCCAAGCACCAGUUCUGGAGUUGUCUACUUUGUAAAGGGACCACGGCCCUGGCAAUUGAGUGUAAGAUGAGAACUUAAACUCCGUGAUGCAGCAAUGGUGGUUGUUCACCACUAUCUCUACUCUGGUGUUUGUUGAAUGAACAAAUGAACAAGUGGAUAUUGCAAAAGGAAGGGAAAAGCAAUACAGAUCCAAGGCAUCUCAGUCAUGUUUUCUUGGUAGAACUGGAAUGAAUCUGGUAUCCAUUUGGGGGUAUAAAACAAUAACCUAUGAAAUAAUGUUCUGGCGGCAUGACGUAUUUAGAGUGCUGACCUGGAGUUACCAAAUAUGAAGCACAAUAGUUCUGCUUUUAUGCUAAGAGACCUGGAGAAUGUAGCUUUACUUUACAACAUUGUGCUUUUAAAUUUUCUAGCUGCCUUGCCAAACUUUCUUCGUGUACAUUAUAAAGUAAUUCUGCAAAGUGGGACAGGUAGGUUAGUAUAUGCUGCUUCUUGAUUAAGGAGAAAAGGUGAGUUGGGAGAUUCAGGAGGUUCAGAUAAAAGCAGAGGGAAGGCGUGAAGGGCCUUUUGCUGAGAAAGCUGGAAAUGAAGCACUAAGAACACCUGAAAGGAAGUGUAUCCCCGGUCAGGAAGGGGAAACUCUCUCCUCAGUAAGUGUUGGUGAACCCCUAGAGUCUUGGCUUUUGUUGCCUGGAGCCAGCCACACUGCUUUUCCUACUCUGGGAGAGGAAGGUUGAGGUCGUCUAGCAUCUGACCAGUUCUGCUCUAGAAGAGCUGCCCAGCCCCAGACCUGGGACUGUCCUAGGGCAAGGAAGCUGGCUGGGAAGCCCCUUGGGCUACAGAGGGUCUGUCAGGGAUUGGUUCUUCCCUCCCCAAGGUCUUGCUCUGUUUCAUAAACAAGUCCCUGCUGUACUCUCUGAGAAUAAAACCAG
rnacentral:lncRNA from 10 species